rnacentral:rRNA from 1 species
UACGGGGGGAGCAAGCGUUGUUCGGAUUUACUGGGCGUAAAGCGCGUGCAGGCGGCCGACUAAGUCAGGUGUGAAAGCCCGGGGCUCACCUCCGGAAGUGCGCUUGAAACUAGUCGGCUAGAGUACGGGAGAGGGAAGCGGAAUUCCUGGUGUAGCGGUGAAAUGCGUAGAUAUCAGGAGGAACACCGGCGGCGAAGGCGGCUUCCUGGACCGAUACUGACGCUGAGACGCGAAAGCGUGGGUAGCGAACAGG